GCCUUCGUGGUGUAGCGGUCAGCACGCUCGACGCGUAACCGAGAGGUUUGUGGUUCGAUUCCCGGCGAAAGUG
rnacentral:tRNA from 1 species